GGGGGUUGGAGUCAGUGGCUGCUUUGUGAAGGAGAAAGAGUCAGUGCUGUGAGGAGAUGCCCAUGGGAAACAUCAAGAAGGAGAAAACUUAGCUGGUUCUCAUCAGAGUACAUCAAAUACAACACUCCUUCUGCAUGGUGCUCCAGUUGUGAUGUAAAUGGUGAUUUGUAAAGCUGCGGCAGGAAGUGACAAAUGGCAGCGCUGUGCUUGUCAAGGGCUUCGUUAGCACGGCCGUGUGUCAGCUGCAGGAGAGGGAUCAGAGCUCCCUCUUCUAAUAGGGGAGACUUCCAAGAACUGCCAGCUGAUUCCUGAGAGCUGCGAGAAGACAAUUAGACUAAACAUAGGACAUUGUUGGGAAGUUUAAAAAGUUGACAUUAUGCACUGUUAAAAAAAAUUCAAGACAAAUUCGACACCAGUUGAAACCUGAAACUGCACCAUGACUUGGAGAGAGCAAAACAAUCUUAGGUUUUCAAAGAAUAAUGAAGUUUUUCGUAUUCCUAGGGAGUAAAAUAACAUGAGGUGUCUGCAUGUCAGCAACUCACCUGCAAUCUUUUCCCUAAAAGAAUGUUGGAUUUUGGCAUCAGCUUCACAUCGACAAGCAUUUUUCCCUGUUGUAAAAAUAAUUAGCGUGAAUGGAAAUAUACGUGUACAUGGAAAUAUAUCUCAAGAGAAUGAACUGCAAGUGAAAAUCAGUGAGGGUUUUUCCAUGGUAAAAAAAAAAACUUACACAACUGAAAAAAAAAAAAAGAAGAUUUAUUGCUAAGAAAGUUUGCACUUCCAGAAAAAGACAGCGGUCAUGAGUAUUUUAGAAUGUUGCAUAGCUAAACCCUGGGUGAGUUCUGAUGCUGUGUGGAUUGAGGUGCUCUGGAAUGAAGCCGCACCUUUGGGUGGGAAUGUCGGAAGUACAGAUGUGCGCAGUGCCAGAUGUUGCUCCUGGAGGGAGGAAGGAGAGGACACUCUGUUGCACACAUGAAGUGGUGAAUGUAAUUUGGAGUUGUUAGUGGUUAUGGAAGAAGCCUUUGUGGUCGGUCUUUUGUCCCUGCACAGCAUUUCUGCAGUCUUUGUUAAAAUGAAAUUUCUUUCCCCUGUGUAGCUCUGUAAAUGUGAAAACACCAAGAGAGUUCAAGUAAUUUUCUAAACGAGUACAGGCUGAAAUAAGAAGCUUUGCUUUUGCCAGACAGGAGCACCUAAUAACACUGAAGAAACUGUUUUCACCAAGGGUCAAAAAUGAUAAUGAACUUUCUCUCCCACUAUCUCUGGAAAUAUUAUAACUUAACACAGAUGCAAUGCCUGGACAUCUUCCCAGAAAGGCUCAAGUAAAAUUAUUUAUUGCCAAUAAAAACAACAUAGUGAUAUUUCCCUGCUGCUGUUAAAUUUAGGAUUGAUGGGAUGAAUAAAGUCAGGGCAAUAGAAACUUCCUAUGCCAAGAUGAAAACUUGGAAGGAAGAGUUAAUUCCAAACCAGACCAAAUAUUUAAUAUUUAAAUCAUUUAAAAUGAUUUAACCAUUAUAAUAUGCAACUUAAAUAUUCUCAUUCAGGAGUCUACUUUGGAAGGGAGACUCUAUGACCUUUAAGUGUAGUAUGCAUCCAUUAAAGGAUUUUCACACCACCGAGUGCAUCUUAAAAGGAAAACUGGUUCUUUGCU